ACCCGCUGAACUUAAGCAUAUCAAUAAGCGGAGGAAAAGAAACCAACAGGGAUUGCCUCAGUAACGGCGAGUGAAGCGGCAAGAGCUCAAAUUUGAAAGCUGGCCCCUUCGGGGUCCGCGUUGUAAUUUGCAGAGGAUGCUUCGGGUGCAGCCCCCGUCUAAGUGCCCUGGAACGGGCCGUCAUAGAGGGUGAGAAUCCCGUCUGGGACGGGGUGUCUGCGUCCGUGUGAAGCUCCUUCGACGAGUCGAGUUGUUUGGGAAUGCAGCUCUAAAUGGGUGGUAAAUUUCAUCUAAAGCUAAAUACUGGCCGGAGACCGAUAGCGCACAAGUAGAGUGAUCGAAAGAUGAAAAGCACUUUGAAAAGAGAGUUAAACAGCACGUGAAAUUGUUGAAAGGGAAGCGUUUGCGACCAGACUCGCCCGCGGGGUUCAGCCGGCAUUCGUGCCGGUGUACUUCCCCGUGGGCGGGCCAGCGUCGGUUUGGGCGGCCGGUCAAAGGCCCUCGGAAUGUAUCACCUCUCGGGGUGUCUUAUAGCCGAGGGUGCAAUGCGGCCUGCCUGGACCGAGGAACGCGCUUCGGCUCGGACGCUGGCGUAAUGGUCGUAAAUGACCCGUCUUGAAACACGGACCAAGGAGUCUAACAUCUACGCGAGUGUUCGGGUGUCAAACCCGUACGCGCAGUGAAAGCGAACGGAGGUGGGAGCCCCCUCGCGGGGCGCACCAUCGACCGAUCCUGAUGUCUUCGGAUGGAUUUGAGUACGAGCGUAGCUGUGGGGACCCGAAAGAUGGUGAACUAUGCCUGAAUAGGGCGAAGCCAGAGGAAACUCUGGUGGAGGCUCGCAGCGGUUCUGACGUGCAAAUCGAUCGUCAAAUUUGGGUAUAGGGGCGAAAGACUAAUCGAACCAUCUAGUAGCUGGUUCCUGCCGAAGUUUCCCUCAGGA
rnacentral:rRNA from 1 species